CCUGGCUCAGAACGAACGACUGGCGGCGUGCCUAACACAUGCAAGUCGAACGCGAAAAGCAGUAAUGCUGAGUAGAGUGGCGCACGGGUGAGUAACACGUAACUGACAUGUCCUAGAGACAAGGAUAACCAUUCGAAAGGAUGGCUAAUACUUGGUAAGCCCACGGCCUUGGGUUGUGGGAAAAGGGUCGGGACCUUUCGAGGCCGAUCGCUUUGGGAGUGGGUUGCGGCCCAUCAGGUAGUUGGCGGGGUAACGGCCCACCAAGCCUAAGACGGGUAGCUGGUCUGAGAGGAUGAUCAGCCACACUGGAACUGAGACACGGUCCAGACUCCUACGGGAGGCAGCAGUGGGGAAUCUUGCGCAAUGGGAGAAAUCCUGACGCAGCAACGCCGCGUGGGUGAUGAAGGUCUUCGGAUCGUAAAGCCCUGUCGGAGGGGAAGAUGCUUUCUGUCGCUAAUAUCGGCAGGAGGUGACGGUACCCUCAAAGGAAGCACCGGCUAACUCUGUGCCAGCAGCCGCGGUAA
rnacentral:rRNA from 1 species